UACGGGGGGGGGCAAGCGUUGCUCGGAAUUACUGGGCGUAAAGGGCUCGUAGGCGGCCAACUAAGUCAGACGUGAAAUCCCUCGGCUUAACCGGGGAACUGCGUCUGAUACUGGAUGGCUUGAGAUUGGGAGAGGGAUGCGGAAUUCCAGGUGUAGCGGUGAAAUGCGUAGAUAUCUGGAGGAACACCGGUGGCGAAGGCGGCAUCCUGGACCAACACUGACGCUGAGGAGCGAAAGCCAGGGGAGCAAACGGG
rnacentral:rRNA from 1 species